CCUACGGGGGGCUGCAGUGGGGAAUCUUGGACAAUGGGCGCAAGCCUGAUCUAGCCAUGCCGCGUGAGCGAUGAAGGCCUUAGGGUUGUAAAGCUCUUUCAGUGGGGAAGAUAAUGACUGUACCCACAGAAGAAGCCCCGGCUAACUCCGUGCCAGCAGCCGCGGUAAUACGGAGGGGGCUAGCGUUGUUCGGAAUUACUGGGCGUAAAGCGCACGUAGGCGGACCAGAAAGUAGGGGGUGAAAUCCCGGGGCUCAACCUCGGAACUGCCUUCUAAACUCCUGGUCUUGAGGUCGAGAGAGGUGAGUGGAAUUCCGAGUGUAGAGGUGAAAUUCGUAGAUAUUCGGAGGAACACCAGUGGCGAAGGCGGCUCACUGGCUCGAUACUGACGCUGAGGUGCGAAAGCGUGGGGAGCAAACAGGAUUAGAUACCCCAGUAGUC
rnacentral:rRNA from 1 species